UUUGGAUUACCUAUUGGCAGUAGAGGGAGGUGUAUGUGGGAAGUUUAAUCUAAGCAAUUGUUGUCUUCACAUAGAUGAUGAAGGGCAAGCAAUAGCUGAGCUUACUAGCCAUAUGGUUAAGCUAGCACAUGUACCUACUCAGGUAUGGAAAGGGUAUAAUCCGAGUAGUUGGUUUGGUAGUUGGUAUGAGCAGUUUGGGGGAAUCAAGGCAUUGGUAGGUGGAGUCAUACUGAUUUUGAUGUUGUGUCUCCUUCUGCCAUGUCUGAUUCCUUUGGUAAUUAGGUCUAUGCAGAGCAUUAUAGAAAGUAUAGCAGAAAGAAAGGCCGCAGCACAGGUAAUGGCUGUUUGCAGGUAUGACGCUCUAGAUCAAGGAGAAUACAUGCAGGAAGAGGAAUGUUGAGGGGUUCGUAUCUUUAGAGGAUCGCAAAGUCUAGUCUAGUUUAUGGCAACUUGAGGUGUAAGCAAACUAUGAUUGGUGAUGCAUCUGGAAUUAUUUUAAAUCAGAAGCAUCAAAGGGGGGAAUGUGAUGGAAUUCCAGUAAAAUACAAGUUUAGCAGGACAAGAUUGCCACAAGGCAUAUGUAGGUACAUGUGUUUGUAGUAUCAGUUAGUUACACGUAGCUAAGAUACUGUCAUCACUGUACUGAGCAUGUGCAGGAAUGCAGGAACUGGAAUUACGCGUUCCUCUCCUUUGUUUCAGAUGAGCCACGUGGUUAGACCGGAUGGAUGAGUUUAGACUCUAUUCAUUGAUUAGGUUAAGGGUAUGUGUGGGCGUAGCUAAUUAUGGGAGAAGAUACAGUGCUAUAUAAGAAAUGUACUCUAUGUAUUCAGUACUCAGAUCUUUGCUGUUUUUGGUGACAUAAGUCCCUCUGAGUGAAUCAAAUAAAGAUCUCUUCCUUCCUGAAGAAACCUGUGUCCAUCUCUCUGUGCUUGGCCUCCGUCAGUUUCCCGGUAACAGGUGUACCAAUCUUUAUAAUUUAAAGGACCACUAUAGUGCCAGGAAAACAUACUCGUUUUCCUGGCACUAUAGUGCCCUGAGGGUGCCCCCACCCUCAGGGACCCCCUCCCGCCAGG